rnacentral:precursor_RNA from 1 species
AAAGAUUACCCGAGAGAUUUCUUCGGUUUGAUUCAUAAGGGUCAUUGGUGGUGAAGUUCUCAGAGCUUGAACAGACAUGGUAGAGAUAUGAGCUGCCUCCAAAAGUGGUUUGUGCAACGAGAGCAAAUGUUAGGAGGUAGAUCGAGAAAGUGAAAAGUGAGGAAGACAUUUUCGGUAGGAAGAAAUUAUGAGGAUGUUGUUUGGAUAAAACUAUGGAGAAGUACGCAGCACCUCCUUUGCCGCUCAUUUUUAAUUCUGUCCCUUCCUUGAUCUAAAAAUAAAUAUAUAUUUUUGUUUUUGGACAACGAAGAAUAUUUCAACCCAACUUAUACCACGUGCUUUGCUACCUACAUCAUCUUUCCAAAGAAAGGAUCUCGUCAAGAGCUGCUCAAUAAGAAAGUAGCCAGAAAAUUGGAAAAGCAAGGUCUAAAAGUACAUUAUGAUGGAAUGAUAUAUUUACGAAGUUCGGAGUUCCUGCCGAAGAAUUUUAAUAAUUUCUACUUAAAACACUGACUGAUAAGCUAAUUUCUUUAGUGGCUCAAGCUGUUAAUCAAACUGAAAAUUUUGAAAUCACCCUCACAAUUCCUGGCCAACUACCGGAGUAAAGGCCACCUGAUGAUUCGUGGGAUUUGGAAGGGAAUUGGGGAUGAUGAGCUACUUGCCUUAGAGUCUGAUGUAAGAAUUUUUGUUUAAUAUCAUUAAAUAUUGUCUAGAAACAGUUUUGUUUUCUGAUAAAUGUGUUAUGACCUUUUUUUAGUACCUCAGUAGACUUUUGCUAUGAUCAUCUCCAGCAUUAAGCAUGAGGGCCCCAUGAUAGAUCUACAUCGUCUACUCAAAAAAUCAUCAGACUGAUGGCCCGCGAUGGUUUGGUGGAGGAAAGUCCCACAGGGGCGACCUGAGAACACAUUUGACGGACAUGAGAACGCCCACAUGUGAUCUCAGGUCGACCCUGCAUGUAGGGCUCCUCCGCCUUUAAUCUCCUAACCACUUGGUGAUGACUGAUGACUGAUGACUGAUGAUGCCAAUGGAAAUGGAAAUUCCAUAUUAUAUAGCGCGCCUACAACACGUUAAUUCGGUACAUUGCCUAAAAUGUACGACACCUCCGCCUAAAAUGUACGUUUAUUUAGUUGUUCACAGUUCGUACAACGUUGUACUCCCUCAUUUCAAACUCCAUUGCACUACUAAAACUUGUGCAAAAAAGAGAGUUACCUUGUACUUCCUCGUAGAAAUAUACGAAUGUACUAUAUUAGAAAUUUCCAAUUUUGAAAUAUGUCGUGAAAAAUGUGUACAGAUGGCUGAGGAUGAUGGCCACACGUUGACACAGCCAAACAAGUGAAUUGCAUUGUUUAAAAAUUCUGUACUCGACUUUUUUGCUCUCGUCUCCGUAGAG